GAUGAACGCUGGCGGCGUGCCUAAUACAUGCAAGUCGAGCGAACGGACGAGAAGCUUGCUUCUCUGAUGUUAGCGGCGGACGGGUGAGUAACACGUGGAUAACCUACCUAUAAGACUGGGAUAACUUCGGGAAACCGGAGCUAAUACCGGAUGAUAUUUUGAACCGCAUGGUUCAAAAGUGAAAGACGGUCUUGCUGUCACUUAUAGAUGGAUCCGCGCUGCAUUAGCUAGUUGGUAAGGUAACGGCUUACCAAGGCAACGAUGCAUAGCCGACCUGAGAGGGUGAUCGGCCACACUGGAACUGGGACACGGUCCAGACUCCUACGGGAGGCAGCAGUAGGGAAUCUUCGGCAAUGGGCGAAGGCCUGACGGAGCAACGCCGCGGGAGUGAUGAAGGUCUUCGGAUCGUAAAACUCUGUUAUUAGGGAAGAACAGAUGUGUAAGUAACUGUGCACAUCUUGACGGUACCUAAUCAGAAAGCCACGGCUAACUACGUG
rnacentral:rRNA from 1 species